AAGGCAAAACCUUGGGGAAGCCGUGAACUAAGCUACUGUGUGUUUCCGGAAGAUUUUGCCUCAAUGAUGCUCGUCUUUUUUCUUUUUCUUUUAAUGUUUUAUUUAUAUUGUUUUCUUUUAUUUUUAAAAAGCCAAGACUUUUAUAUAUUAUUUUUUUAAUUGGGGGAACGGGUCUCUAGUAGAUGGGCCUGGGGCCUCACCGCACAGCUUGUUCAUUGGCACUGCCCCCAGAAUCCUGUGGCUUCGUCACAUAUGGACGCUCCAGAGGACUAGAAAAGGGGUGGCUGCGCAGAGCUUCCAGGGCGUCAUCUGCUCAGAAGGCCAGGCCCACCGUGGCUGGGGCCAGGAGCUGUGCUGUCUGACUAGUGACGCCAAACUCACUCAGAGUUUUCCUGUCAUGAAGGAGUUGGUCCUUGUAUAGCUUCUGCUUCUCCCGCGGCUGCUUAGGGAUGCCCUGGACGUUAAGCUUCAGCUCGAACACCGUGCUCGACUCCUUGACUUCAGUGAAGAUGGUGGUCUUAUGGCUCCCGAUCAUGAGAAACGCGUCCUGAAGACACCAGGCUGACAUCAGUGCUUGUCUGAAGCAACCUGCCGGGCCCCAGAGCCCCUGAAGCCCCACCCCCCCGCCAGCCCUGCGCCGCUCCUCCGGUGCCCGCUCACCUAUGUUUUAUCUUUGAUGUUAUAUGCAUCGGUGUUUUGCUUGCAUGUCUGUCUGCCUGGGUGCGGUUAUCAGAUGUCCUGGAACUGGUUAUGGACAAUUUUUGAGCUGCCAUGUAGGUGCUUGGAAUUGAACCCAGGUCUUCUGGAAGAGCAACCAGUGCCGCUAACCACUGAGCCAUCUCUAGAGCCCCUGCUUGGUUUUUUGUUUUGUUUUUUGUUUUUUUCUUGAUCACUGAAAGUUUCUCCGCUCCAGUGACCAGCAUCAAGUAUCACAGCAAAGCAAAGGUUUCAUCUAGUGGCCUGGUAUCUUGUGAACCACAGCUGAUUCUCCAAACCUCACUUAAUCAGAACCACCAGGAAGGAUCUUGGCAAGACCGGAGAGCCUGCUGAUACUCAGGAUUACUUUUGGCUGAAAGACUAUUUCUCUACACAUUAGAAUGGCUAUUCCAUCAUGCUUCUUGGGUUAGCCUGCACCUACAAUCUUUGUCCAUCGCUUUAUUCUGAGGUCUCCAGUGAACCCAGACUUCAAAGCCUCUGAGGGUGCCUCGGGUCUACCAAGUCAACAUGUUUUCCUUCCCAAGUAGCUUUGGGGUCUCAAGUUUUUCCCAAUGAUUCAAGGAGGCAGAAGGUGGAGCACACUGUGUUCAUCAAGGAACAAACUCUAGUUCUGGAAGAAUAUUUUAAAAGUGCAAGUACCCAACCCAUGAACAAUGCAUGGCACCGGCUCAAGGAUUUGGAUUGAUGGAUCAAGAUCAAGAUCUGGUUCCAGAACUGAUGUGCUAGAGAGUACCAGAAGAAGGCUCAAAAACUACCCGGGAAGCCUGGAUGUGGGACUCAAGAUAGGCCUACAGACCCCAAAGGCUGGGAACUUCCUGUUUCCUCUGCCAGUGCAGUUUCUUUGUGCCAGAAACAUGUGGAAGUCUGCUGUCCUCAACUCAGUCCACCGAGUACCUCCCCAGACCAGGAAUCCAUCUUCUCCAACACUGAUCCAGCCUGUACGGAGCUCUACCCAAAAAUACAAGAUCUAGGCAGCAGAGGGAAAAAGCUAUAGUAAAACUGUGGAAGCAAGGCCAGAGUACUGUGCUAGAUCUGCAGCCCCAAAGGCAGCGCCUUUCCCCUGGCCUCUGACUGUGGGCAUUCCUUGUCCCAGAGACACUGUCUUGAUUGUUCUCCUCCGCUUAGCCCUCCAAAUAUUUCCCCAGGCUCAGAGUCCACGUUUCCUAUGUGGGGAGAGACCACCAUGUGUCAGCCCUCCUCCCCCACUAAGCUCUGUAUGUUCUGGAAUCUGUCUUCUCCAUUGCUCAGACCAACAAGAGUCUCUCAUGUGAAGCCCUGGUGUCUGUACAGGUUGACCAAGCCGCACUAGACACAAUCGCAGACCAAUCAGCAGCAGCUUAUGCAAUAGCUACACACCCGGCUCUACCCCAAGACCUUCCUUAAAGGAGCUCCAAACGCCAUCAUAGCUUCAGAAGCUCCGGUGGUAGCUGUGAAGGUAGCUAGAAGCCCAAGGGAAACUCCAUUCAAAGGGGGGGGGGUAUUUUUUAAAUUUUUUCAAAUUUGAUUUUAUAUUAAAUAUUUUUACUACAUAGAAAAUAUACGGCUAUUUUAAUAUAACAUUUUUACUGGUUCUUAGAAUGUUAGAUCAAACGCCACCUGGUCAUAUUCAUUUUCCCCAUCCUUCCAAAUCCACCCAAACUUGUAACCUUCCAUAACAAAAAUAGUUAAAAAAUAAAAUAAAAUAA
rnacentral:lncRNA from 1 species